rnacentral:rRNA from 1 species
AACGCGAAGAACCUUACCAAGGCUUGACAUAUACAGGAAAAGCGUAGAAAUACGCUCCCCGCAAGGUCUGUAUACAGGUGGUGCAUGGUUGUCGUCAGCUCGUGUCGUGAGAUGUUGGGUUAAGUCCCGCAACGAGCGCAACCCUCGUCCUAUGUUGCCAGCACGUAAUGGUGGGAACUCAUGGGAGACUGCCGGGGUCAACUCGGAGGAAGGUGGGGAUGACGUCAAAUCAUCAUGCCCCUUAUGUCUUGGGCUUCACGCAUGCUACAAUGGCCGAUACAGAGGGCUGCAAUACCGCAAGGUGGAGCGAAUCCCACAAAGUCGGUCUCAGUUCGGAUUGAGGUCUGCAACUCGACCUCAUGAAGUCGGAGUCGCUAGUAAUCGCAGAUCAGCAACGCUGCGGUGAAUACGUUCCCGGGUC